rnacentral:rRNA from 1 species
UACGUAGGGUCAGCAGUGUCGGAUUCGAUUGGUGCGUAAAGAGCUCGUAGGCGGUCUGUUACGUCGGACUGGUGAAAACCUGGGGCUCAACCCCGGGUCUGCAGUCGAUACGGGCAAACUAGAGUAUUGCAGGGGAGACUGGAAUUCCUGGUGUAGCGGUGAAAUGCGCAGAUAUCAGGAGGAACACCGGUGGCGAAGGCGGCAUCCUGGACCAAUAUUGACGCUGAGGAGCGAAAGCCAGGGGAGCAAACGGG